CAGGGGGCGGUGUGCGCCCCCGGCGCUGGAGCAGCCGCGUUUCGGGGACCCGGGCAGGCGUGGGGGGCUGCGCUGAGCUCCAGGCCUCCUGCAGCUGUGCCUUAACUUCCUCGAAAGACAACAUCAGUGCUGGCGGGCCUCAAGAAGAGCCAUCCCAAGGUAUUGACUAGGCAUCAGCGUCUUCACCAGGGCAACACAGAACAUCCCUGCAGAGUUCCUGGUGGCUGCAGUGGCUGGUAGGGGAUGUAUGCCUGCUUUCCAUCAGAUUCCCAAAGCGGAGCCCCUGGAGGCUUUGGCCCAUGGCCCUGAAGCUCCCUUUCACAAGGAAGAAAGACUUUGCAAAGCCAACACCACUAUUGGAGAGAAAGUGGAGAAUGUGUAUUAGAAGUACUAGUCUUUGAAGGCAAAACAGCUGUAUAGAGUGAGCUUAAGUGCUGGAUCCCUGUGGUUAGGAAGGGACACUAAGCCUCCGGGAUGUGAGAGUCCCAUGGAAGGCAGUAGGCCCAGGAUAAAGCAGGUGUCAGCUCAGAAAGCCCACCAUCACCCAGAAAAGGGAAGAAAUACGCUACCACCAUCACUCUUUCUGCCAAUGACUUCUUUGCACACCUCCACCCUAUCUCCUGGCUCAGUCUCCCAUGUUCUCAUAGCUAGGGAGGUCUCCAUUGUAAUUUGUAUGGGGAGGUUAACCUAUAGGCCAUUCUGAUGAUCCCAGCUCCCUUUCACUACAACCCCCGUCUGCAUCCUUUGCUUUGCAGUAGGAUUUGAGAGAGGAAGGAUGAAGAUGUAGCCACAGGAUACAUUUAAACAGGCACAGAGUUUGAGGGGUGGGGGGGAACAAAAGCAAAACAAUAAAACCUUCACCAGUCAUUAAAGAAAUGAAAAUGAACCUUUUGAGAUUGUCAAUUUUUAUCUGCUAAGUCAAGAAAAGCUAAUUUAAUUCCUGGCAAUUUCACAAUAAAAAAAAUUGUGCUAGCUCUUGGUGGCAUUGUAAGUAGUUAAAGGCUUUUUGGGAAGUAAUUUGAAAUACAUCAAGUCUUGAAAAUGAUUAUACCAGUGGAUCCAAUCAUCUCGCUGGUGGAAAUUCAUCUGAAGGAAAUGAUUCAGUGGAAAAAACAACCCGUCUACACUUGUUGCACCUAAAUGUCCAGGAAUAAGGGAAUGACAGAAGAAAUCUCAGCACAUUCUCUGAAUGGAACAGAAACCGAGCGUUUGGAACUAGAAUUGCGCAGACUGAAUUGAAUAUGGAAGUGGCUUUAAAUGGCAUGUUAGGUGGAAACACUGGAUGUCUGGUUGAAAUUUGGUAAGACACACAUUCCCAUGGUCAGAAUCGGAAAAUUUCAACAAAUGAAAAUCAUGGGGUUCACAAAGAGGUGUUGUGGGUUAUAGAAAGCUAUUUUCAAAAAUUUCUUUAAUGAUUCAAAAUUGUUUUUCAAAAAAAGUAGAAGAUUUAGAAACAUGUAUUUUAGGAAGUAUGGCCCAUGGUGUCUAUUGGAAAAAAAGUGGAAGACCUGAUGCAUUGCCCAAGGGGAACUUCUAGCUUAAGAUUACACUGAUGAGGACUGGGAAACACUCAGGCACUUUCAGGCACGCUGAGUAACAGGGGUGUCCUUUUACACAGAGACAAGGUGCUCUGUGGUCCACCCUUUACUUGGAUCCCCAGAUCAGCAUUCUCAUCAGGCAGAAGUAACCAGAGGAGGAAACAGCAUUUCUUCAAAGCUGAAGAGAGCUUUUUGGAGGGGAAAAUAAAAAAUCCUAGGAACUCCUUGCAUGACUGAUGGUUUGAACAAUGGCUUUGCACCCCAAGACCAGCCUGGCCUCGUGGUUGUAAAUCUGGGGGCCGUUGACAAACGGUUUCCCACCUUGGGACUUGAGUCUGCAGUUCAAGAGUC
rnacentral:lncRNA from 1 species